GAUGAAGAACGUAGCGAAAUGCGAUAAGUAAUGUGAAUUGCAGAAUUCAGUGAAUCAUCGAAUCUUUGAACGCAUCUUGCGCUCCUUGGUAUUCUGAGGAGCAUGCCUGUUUGAGUGUCAUUAAAUUCUCAACUACACUGACUUUGAAUUGAUGUGGCUUGGAUUUGGGGGGAAAAUUGUUGUGGGCUUUUUGUAUAGUCUGCUCCCCUGAAAUUGAUUAGCGGUACCUUUGUGGAACUGUCUACAGGUGUGAUAAUUAUCUACAUCUUAGACAUCUGCUGGAAUGCUGCUUUCUAAACCUUACUUGUAUUGACAAUCUUGACCUCAAAUCAGGUAGGACUACCCGCUGAACUUAAGCAUAUCAAUAAGCGGAGGA
rnacentral:misc_RNA from 1 species